rnacentral:rRNA from 1 species
GAUGAACGCUAGCUACAGGCUUAACACAUGCAAGUCGAGGGGUAACGAGAGGGAAGCUUGCUUUCCUUGUCGACGACCGGCGCACGGGUGAGUAACGCGUAUCCAACCUGCCCCCAACUAGGGAAUAACCAUGCGAAAGUAAGACUAAUACCCUAUAAUUUCCUCAGAUGUCAUCUGACGAGGAAUAAAGAUUUAUCGGUUGUGGAUGGGGAUGCGUCUGAUUAGCUUGUUGGCGGGGUAACGGCCCACCAAGGCAACGAUCAGUAGGGGGUCUGAGAGGAAGGUCCCCCACAUUGGAACUGAGACACGGUCCAAACUCCUACGGGAGGCAGCAGUGAGGAAUAUUGGUCAAUGGGCGGAAGCCUGAACCAGCCAAGUAGCGUGCAGGAUGACGGCCCUAUGGGUUGUAAACUGCUUUUAUACAGGAAUAAAGUUAGCCACGUGUGGUUAUUUGUAGGUACUGUAUGAAUAAGGACCGGCUAAUUCCGUGCCAGCCGCCGCAGUAA